rnacentral:rRNA from 1 species
AUUGAACGCUGGCGGCAGGCUUAACACAUGCAAGUCGAACGAGUGGCGGACGGGUGAGUAAUGCCUGGGAAUCUGCCUGAUGGAGGGGGAUAACUACGGGAAACUGUAGCUAAUACCGCAUACCAUCGGAUGAGCCCAUGUGGGAUUAGCUAGUUGGUGAGGUAAAGGCUCACCAAGCCGACGAUCUCUAGCUGGUCUGAGAGGAUGACCAGCCACACUGGGACUGAGACACUGCCCAGACUCCUACGGGAGGCAGCAGUGGGGAAUAUUGCGCAAUGGGCGCAACCCUGACGCAGCCAUGCCGCGUGAAGGAAGAAGGCCUUCGGGUUGUAAAGUUCUUUCGGUGGCGAGGCGUUACCUGCAGAAGAAGCACCGGCUAACUCCGUGCCAGGAGCCGCGGUAAUAC